rnacentral:rRNA from 1 species
UCCGAAGGGGGCUAGCGUUGUUCGGAAUCACUGGGCGUAAAGGGCGCGUAGGCGGCCGAUCAAGUCGGGGGUGAAAGCCUGUGGCUCAACCACAGAAUUGCCUUCGAUACUGUUUGGCUUGAGACCGGAAGAGGUUAGUGGAACUGCGAGUGUAGAGGUGAAAUUCGUAGAUAUUCGCAAGAACACCAGUGGCGAAGGCGGCUGACUGGUCCGGUUCUGACGCUGAGGCGCGAAAGCGUGGGGAGCAAACAGG